rnacentral:rRNA from 1 species
AUUGAACGCUGGCGGCAGGCUUAACACAUGCAAGUCGAACGAGUGGCGGACGGGUGAGUAAUGCUUGGGAACCUAGCUUAUGGCGGGGGAUAACUACGGGAAACUGUAGCUAAUACCGCGUACCAUAGGAUGAGCCCAUGUGGGAUUAGGUAGUUGGUGAGGUAAAGGCUCACCAAGCCGACGAUCUCUAGCUGGUCUGAGAGGAUGACCGGCCACACUGGGACUGAGACCCGGCCCAGACUCCUACGGGAGGCAGCAGUGGGGAAUAUUGCGCAAUGGGGGCAACCUGACGCAGCCAUGCCGCGUGAAUGAAGAAGGCCUUCGGGUUGUAAAGUUCUUUCGGUAGCGAAGCGUUAACUACAGAAGAAGCACCGGCUAACUCCGUGCCAGCAGCCGCGGUAAUUC